CUACGGGGGGCACCAGGCGCGAAACCUCUACAAUGCACGAAAGUGUGAUAGGGGGACUCCAAGUGCUUUGCUUUUUGCAAAGCUUUUGCUAAGAUUAAAAACCUUGGCGAAUAAGUGGUGGGUAAGACUGGUGCCAGCCGCCGCGGUAACACCAGCGCCACAAGUGGCAAUCAUAUUUAUUGGGCCUAAAGCGUCCGUAGCCUGUUUGACAAAUCUUCUGUGAAAUUGUUAGGCCUAACCUAACAACGUGCAGGAAACACUAUCAAACUAGGAACCGGGAGGGGUUAGAAGUAUUUUUGGGGUAGCGGUAAAAUGUUAGAAUCCUAAAAGGACUACCUGUGGCGAAGGCGUCUAACCAGAACGGAUUCGACGGUGAGGGACGAAAGCUAAGGGAGCAAAACGGAUUAGAUACCCCCGUAGUC
rnacentral:rRNA from 1 species